AAAAAAUAAAAAAAAAAAAAAAAACUAAAAAUAAAAAAAAAAAAAAAAUUUCCACACAUGAAUAAAUGAUAUUAAAAAUUAACAAUGGACUGGACAAGAUAAUAUAGAGUGCUCCGACACCGAAUGUGGCAUACUUUGUUCGGCUACACUAUAAAUGGGUGAGGAGUGUUACAAGUGGAGCAUCAAUGCUUUCAAUUUCAGCUACACUAUCAGAUAAGUUAUCCAAAGGUACUUGUGAUGAGACUUGAUGAUUGCCAUUCAAUGGAGGAUUAGGUAUUUCAGAUUCCAUCUCCAAAGAUGUAUCAUUUGGCAUGCUAGAUAUACCUUAAAUGGGUUCAACACGUGCUUGACUCAGCAACCCUCUAACAACCCUCUAAUAUCAUGAUUAGAGGAACCAGACGUAGAACACUCGGCAAAAUGUCUUGAUGAAAGACUUGGUUGCUUCUUCUUUACACUAUAACUUGCCUUUUUCUUUAGCAAUAAACCACUAGAGCCAUUGUUCAACCUGUAAUUAUAAUCAAUUACAACCAUGUAUGAUAUAAUUAAAAGAAUUUAAUAAAAAUGAAUGCCUAAUCAUGAUCAAAAAAGAAAAUUUAGAUUAGAUUACCUAGACACAUUAGGCAUCUCAAAUCAAACAUCAUCAUCAUCAUUAAGGGUGUUUUGAACGUCAUAACUAUUCACAUAAGAAACUAAUGUGUCAUCUAAGUCAUCAGUUUCAACAUCAUCUAUAAAAUUAUCAUCUUCAUCACCUUCAGGAAGUUUUAAAAUUAGUAAUGACUCAAUAUCUUCUGGAUCAACAUUGACUCUAAGUAGCAAAUGUAAUUUGUCCUCCUUAAUUUCAAUGAACUUCAUUCUCUUGAUAUACUUCAUGCUCUACAACUUGCAACUAAUCCACAUCCAUAGCUUCAUUCUAUAACUCAUCAACAUCAUAUAUAUAUGCCUAUGUUGAAAUGGUCGUACCACUCGCCACUCACUUCCUAAUUAUGGAUCAUCUAUAUAGAAAAUUUGUUUUGCUUGGUGUGCUAAAAUAUAAGGGUCAUUUUGAUACCAACGCCUAGUAAUCUUAACACUAACUAUAUUUCCUUCCUUUUUAACUCCUUUUUUUUUUUUUUUCAAGGUCAAACCAACUACAUUUAAAAAGAAGAAUGUGUUUGUCAUUAACAUAAUCUAACUGAAUAAUAUCAAUAAGCUCCCCAUAAAAAUCAAUAGUCCCGUUAUUAUGGUUUCCUUCAACUGCAAUCCCACUAUUUUGACUUGUACGACGAUGAUCGCAUUUUUUUAUAAGAAACCAAACAUCGGUCACAAUGCAGCUUGUGUACAUUUUAACACACGUAUGGAACAUAUGAUAACGAAUAAAGAGCUUCAAUGGAUUCUGAUGGUUCUUUGUAAUAUGAGCGUGCCAUCUAAACAUAAAAGAUAUUAAAAUAAACAUUUUGUUGUUACCCAUAAAUCUACAUUAGACAUAGGCAUAACACAUGCUUACACGUUGGAACCACAUCAAAAAUUGUUCUUUAUGUCUUUGAUCUAUAUUUCAACAACCUUGCAAUUGUAGCUCUAUCUUAUGCUCCCUAGGAAAAAGUUAUUAGAUGAUUAAUAAAUUAAUUAAUUUUAGAGCAAAUGGAAAAUAAUAUAUACUUUAACGAAAUUAGUUAAUAUAUACUUACUCAAAAUAGGACUCUACUUCCUAAUAAUUUUGCAAGAUAUACCAUUAUGCCAUGUUGAAUUCUUCAUUUGAUAACUCAACAAAUUUUGUGGCACCAAAUGGGCGACACUUUUGUGAGAAUAUAGAUAACCCACUAGAAUUAGUGAUAUCAUAGUUUCCCUUAUCUCGAUUAAUCGUGUCUCAAUACCAUGCAAAUACAUCGAAAAAAGUUUAAACACUCCUUUGCAACAUACGCUUCUGUGAUCGAACCUUCUGGAUGAGCUUUGUUUCGAACACUUUAUUUUAAUUCACAUAAUGACCUAUUGAAAAAAGUGAUUGGAUUAUGAGAUUGCUAUUUGAAAUUUUCUAUUGGGAAAAUUUAGUAAAGAAUUGUGUUACCUUUGAAUGAGAUACAUCCAUCUAAAUUGAACUAGUCGACCAAGUAAUGCCUCAUUAGGUAAAUGAAUAGCUGAAUGAACCAUGACAUCGAAAAAAGCAGGUGGAUAGAUCAUUUCCAGAUUGCAUAGUAUGAUUAUGAUAUCUUUCAAUUUCUCCACCACUUUUCUAUUUAAUAUUUUGUAACAUAAUUGCUGAAAAACAUCACCCAACUCGACUAAUAAGUUGGAUACCUCUUUGUUUACGCACCCACGAAUACUAACAGUAGUAUUCAUUGCAAAAGAACAUGACAAUCAUGACUUUUCAACCCCGAUAUCUUUUCAUCUAACUCUUAUCCAUUUUAUAUAUAACCAAAUUAAAAAUAGAAAAUUCCAACAAAAUAAUAAAUGAAUCAGCUAAUUAAUAACCUAAUUAAUGGAUAGUUUUAUAUAUAACCUAAUUAAUAAAAUUUAAAAUAAUAAAUAAAAUAUAAAUUAAUGGAUAAUUUUAUUGAUAAUAAUUUAUUAAAAAUAUAAUUUUAUUCUUUUUGAGAGAAAGGAAGGAUUGCUUGAGAUCCUGCCAUGUGGAGAUUCCACUUUUUCCUUCAAUUUUCUUCUUCCUUUAGCUUUAUCAAAGAUCAUUUAACAAAAACUUAUCUCCCUAUUUUCAUUUUGGACUGAAACCUUGAGAGCCCCACUCUAAGAUAACUAAAUCCUCCUUUUCCUUCUUUCUCAUUAUUAUAAUGCAUCAAUGAGAAGACUGUAGAGAUUAAAGGAACUUGCUUACAAGUGAGAGGAGUAGGGUUCGUGUAAGAGUUCUUCACCUUAAUUAUUUUAUUUUCUUUUAUUUUACUCAUUUCUGAUGGAGGCUAAAAUUUAUAUGUUAAGGUGAAGGAAAAAGCAAGCGUUAACCAUGGAGAAAUGGGUUGUUAAAAAUGGGUUCAAAACCUUAGUUGAGUUAUUAACUAUUAUAUAUUUUCUUCUUCUUAAUCAUAUCCAUAUUUGGAGAAAAUGUAAAUGAAAAAUGGUUGAAUGGGUGAACUGAUUAGUAUACGUUAAUGAUUUCUAUGGUCAAUUAAGGCAAGGGAAGGAGACUUUAAUGCUCUGGGGAGGAAUCAAAGGCCUUGUUUUAAUAAAGUAAAUGUAAUUUAUAGAAAUUUCAAUUAUGAUUCAAUUGUUGGAAUUUUUAUUUGGGUAAGAGUACAUCUACAGGAUCUUAUAUUUAAGUAUAUGUGUCAAGGU
rnacentral:misc_RNA from 1 species